GUCUCAGUUCGGAUUGGAGUCUGCAACCCGACUCCAUGAAGCUGGAUUCGCUAGUAAUCGCGCAUCAGCCACGGCGCGGUGAAUACGUUCCCGGGCCUUGUACACACCGCCCGUCAAGCCAUGGAAGCCGGGAGUGCCUGAAGUGCGUGACCGCAAGGAGCGUCCUAAGGCAAUACCGGUGACUGGGGCUAAGUCGUAACAAGGUAAC
rnacentral:rRNA from 1 species